ACCGGUACUCGUACGAUCACCGAAGUCAAGAAACAUCGAACCAGGUUAUUACCUCGAUGGGUGACCGCUUGGGAAUACCAGGUGUCG